CAAUGAAGGAAGUAUGAUAAUAUGCACAGAAAUUAAAUUAGGUUUUUAGGUCUGCCCUCUCUGAUGUCAUUUGGCUUUGAUUUGGAGACAUGAUCGGCAGCAAAACA